rnacentral:rRNA from 1 species
GACGAACGCUGGCGGCGUGCCUAAUACAUGCAAGUCGAGCGGACGGAUGGGAGCUUGCUCCCAGACCGUCAGCGGCGGACGGGUGAGUAACACGUGGGCAACCUGCCUGUAAGACUGGGAUAACUCCGGGAAACCGGGGCUAAUACCGGAUAACUCUUUCCCUCACAUGAGGGAAAGCUGAAAGAUGGCAUCUCGCUAUCACUUACAGAUGGGCCCGCGGCACAUUAGCUAGUUGGUGAGGUAACGGCUCACCAAGGCGACGAUGCGUAGCCGACCUGAGAGGGUGAUCGGCCACACUGGGACUGAGACACGGCCCAGACUCCUACGGGAGGCAGCAGUAGGGAAUCUUCCGCAAUGGACGAAAGUCUGACGGAGCAACGCCGCGUGAGUGAUGAAGGUUUUCGGAUCGUAAAACUCUGUUGUCAGGGAAGAACAAGUACCGGAGUAACUGCCGGUACCUUGACGGUACCUGACCAGAAAGCCACGGCUAACUACGUG